AUGCUUAACACAUGCAAGUCGAACGGUAACAUUGGAGCUUGCUCCAGAUGACGAGUGGCGGACGGGUGAGUUACGCGUAGGAAUCUGCCUAGUAGUGGGGGACAACAUGUGGAAACGCAUGCUAAUACCGCAUACGCCCUACGGGGGAAGGCGGGGGAUCUUCGGACCUCGCGCUAUUAGAUGAGCCUGCGUUAGAUUAGCUAGUUGGUGGGGUAAUGGCCUACCAAGGCGACGAUCUAUAGCUGGUCUGAGAGGACGAUCAGCCACACUGGGACUGAGACACGGCCCAGACUCCUACGGGAGGCAGCAGUGGGGAAUAUUGGACAAUGGGCGAAAGCCUGAUCCAGCAAUACCACGUGUGUGAAGAAGGCCUGAGGGUUGUAAAGCACUUUCAAUUGGGAGGAAAACAGCUGGGUUAAUAGCCCUGCUCUUGACAUUACCUUUAGAAGAAGCACCGGCUAACUCCGUGCCAGCAGCCGCGGUAAUACGGAGGGUGCGAGCGUUAAUCGGAAUUACUGGGCGUAAAGCGUACGUAGGCGGUUAUUUAAGUCAGAUGUGAAAGCCCCGGGCUCAACCUGGGAACUGCAUUUGAUACUGGAUAACUAGAGUUUGAUAGAGGAGAGUAGAAUUUCUGGUGUAGCGGUGAAAUGCGUAGAGAUCAGAAGGAAUACCAGUGGCGAAGGCGGCUCUCUGGAUCAAAACUGACGCUGAGGUACGAAAGCGUGGGUAGCAAACAGGAUUAGAUACCCUGGUAGUCCACGCCGUAAACGAUGUCAACUAGCCGUUGGGUCCAAUUAAGGACUUAGUGGUGCAGCUAACGCAUUAAGUUGACCGCCUGGGGAGUA
rnacentral:rRNA from 1 species